UCUCUGUGUGUGUGUCGAUUGUGUGGUAGAGGUUUGGUGGAAUUAAAAUUCAGAGGUAGUUGGAUGAGGAUCAAUGUGUCGGUUUUGGUGAGAUUGAGUUGUUAGUGGGUUAGUGAAGAGUUGAGAUUAUUUUCAUAACUUUAUUUUUAUUUUUAUUUUGUUUCCCAAAAUUCCUCUUCUUUUUUACUUUUUUCUUUUUCUUUUCACUACAAAUCCCUUUUGCUUCUUCCUUUGAUUUUGUUCACAAAUUGUUCGUUUAAAUCAUUGCGAUUCGGAUUUUCUGAUUUUCUUUGUUCGGCUUGGAAAAUAU
rnacentral:lncRNA from 1 species